UACAGAGGGUGCAAGCGUUAAUCGGAAUUACUGGGCGUAAAGCGUGCGUAGACGGUAGCGUAAGUCGGGUGUGAAAGCCCCGGGCUCAACCUGGGAAUGGCCGUUGAAACUGGCGAACUGGAGUGUGGCAGAGGGGGGUGGAAUUCCGCGUGUAGCAGUGAAAUGCGUAGAGAUGCGGAGGAACACCGAUGGCGAAGGCAGCCCCCUGGGCUAACACUGACGCUCAGGCACGAAAGCGUGGGGAGCAAACAGG
rnacentral:rRNA from 1 species